rnacentral:rRNA from 1 species
CAGCAGCCGCGGUAAUACGGAGGGUGCAAGCGUUAAUCGGAAUUACUGGGCGUAAAGCGUGCGUAGGCGGUUUGACAAGUCUUGUGUGAAAUCUCUGGGCUCAACCCAGAGUCUGCACGGGAAACUGUCGGGCUAGAGGAUGGGAGAGGUGAGUGGAAUUUCCGGUGUAGCGGUGAAAUGCGUAGAUAUCGGAAGGAACACCUGUGGCGAAAGCGGCUCACUGGACCAUUACUGACGCUGAGGCGCGAAAGCUAGGGGAGCAAACAGGAUUAGAUACCCGCGUAGUCCCUGUCUCUUAUAC